UACGGGGGGUGCAAGCGUUGUCCGGAUUUACUGGGCGUAAAGGGCGCGUAGGCGGUUGUAUCAGUCGGGCUUAUAAGUGCGGGGCUCAACCCCGUGAUGGGUUCGGGACGGUAUGACUGGGGCGCGGUCGAGGGAGACGGAAUGCCGGGUGUAGUGGUGAAAUGCGUAGAGAUCCGGCGGAACCCCAGAGGCGAAGGCGGCGCCCUGGCCCGACACUGACGCUCAGACACGACAGCAUGGGGAGCGAACGGG
rnacentral:rRNA from 1 species